rnacentral:lncRNA from 1 species
UUUUAGUUCUGGGACACAUGUGCAGUACGUGCAGGUUUGUUACAUAGGUAUACAUGCGCCAUGGCGGUUUGCUGCACCCAUCAACCUGUCAUCUAGGUUUUAAGCCCUGCAGGCAUUAGGUAUCGGUCCUCAUGCUCUCCCUCCCCUUAGCCCCCUACCCCCGACAGGCCCUGGUGUGUGAUGUUCCCCUCCCUGUGUCCAUGUGUUCUCAUUGUUCAACUCCCACUUAUGAUUGAGAACAUGCCACUGCACACUUUUUCUAGCUCAGUCUUUAGGCAUCCCUCUCUGGGACAGGGAGGAAAGGUGUUGCUUGGAGGUUACUAAACCUUACCCACCUGUGCUACGCAGAAUAAUGGCCCUCAAAGAACCAUGUGUCCUAAUCCCUAGAACCUGUGAUAUGUCACCAUAUAUGGCAAAAGGGACUUUGCAGAUAUGAUUAAAUUAAGGAGAUGAGGAGAUUAUCUUAGAUUACCUGGGUGGGCCUAAAAUAAUCACAGGGGUCUUUACAAGAAGAAGAUAGGCAGGUCAGAGAAAGCGAUGUGAUGAUGGAAGCAGAGGUGGGAGUGACACGGGGCUAUGAGACAAGGAACCAGGCAACUUCCAGAGGCUGGCAAAAGCAAGGAAAUGGAUUCUUCCCCAGAGCCUCAAGGAGUGCAGCCCUGCUGACACCUUGCUUUUAGCCCAGCUAAAAUGAUUUCAGACUUCUGUCCCCCAGAACUAUAAGAUAAUAACUUUCUGCUGCUUCAAGUUACAAGUUUCUGGUAAUUUGUUACAGCAGUCACAGGCACUAAUACAUCCAUGGAUCGAGGCGCAACAUAUUCUAGUUACAUUAAAGUAAAGAUAGAGGGAUAGAGGUUCAGAUCAUCAGCUGAUUCAGGACUGUGGACUUUCAAGGGCUCCCAUCUCUCCUCCUUCAAAUCUGCAACUGCCUUAAUGAAAGAGAAGAGCUUCCUUUUAGAAAUAUCACACUUAUUCCCAUGUAAGGUAAGCUUUAUUCUUUCUCCAUAAUGCACUUGUUAUCAAAAGACAUAUGUGAUAGAGCUUGAAAACCACAAAAAUAUAGGGUACCUUGGUUGCUUAUUUCAUAAUAUAGCUUGGAGAUGUUUUCACAUCUGUACACAUGUUAUCCUUUCAUACAGUCACUCCACACUCUGUGUAUUUUACCUUUAGUAUAGGUACUAAUUACAUCAAUAAUACUUCUUUAGGGUAUAUAAGUUCUAAUUAUAGCACUCCAGAGGGAACCAUGAUUAUCAAAACCUAAAUAUCCACAUGUAUUAUUAAAUUCAUCUUAUUUUUCAUUUCAUUAACUGUAAACUAUUUUCCCCCAAAAUUUCCACAUUAGUAAUGUUCUGCACUUUUGUUCUUUUCUUUAUUUAUUUUCAUUAGAGAUGGGGGUCUCACUCUGUUGGCCAGGGUGGCCUCCGACUCCUGGCCUCUGGCAAUCCUCCCUCCGGCCUUGGCCUCCCAAAGUGCUGGGAUUACAAGCAUGAGCCACCAUGUCCAACCCAUGUUUAUUUGAAAUCUAUAUUAUUAAAUUAGGACAACAUGACUAUAUGAAAUAAUAGGCUUAUUUUUUCUAACAAAUAUAAACAGGCAUAAAGUUUUAAGUAUGUACGUGUUGGUUUUUCCACAUAAUUUUGAAACUUUCUUUACCUUUCUGUAUAUGGCAACUUGGAAGUCAAUUUUUAACUUAUCUCC